rnacentral:lncRNA from 1 species
AUGUCACGUGCGUUCGCCGUCGCCGGAACCUCCGCUGCCGUACCGGAGUUAGAUUCACGACGUGUUUGUGAGUCUCUCCGCAUCAACGAAUGAUAAAACUCUACCACCUCCGGUACUUUUCUUACCUUCGCCGGAGGCAUUUUUCCUCCCUUCGGCGGUGGUGGAGGAGUACUGUGUGCAUGCGCCGGUGACGGCGACUUGGAGAAUCCCAUUGCUACCUUAACUUUACCGGCAACCAUUAGAGAAGAGUGAAAAGGGUUUGUGUUGUUGUGUUUAGGGUUUGUGUUUGAAACUCAUGAGAUGAGAGUGAUGAAAGUAACAGAAGACGACGUCGUUUUCUUUGGGUUGAUAAAGGAAACUGGUACUAAAAUUAGAGGAGGAGAAUAGGAUGGUGUAAAGAGUGGAGUGAGUGAGUGAGUGAGGAGAG